rnacentral:sRNA from 1 species
UAAAUUUGCUGAAUCCUUUAAAAGGAGUGGGGGACCCGAUCAACAGGGGUGAGUCCGCAAGGAAGGGCAGCUCUUUCUGUCCUAACCCGUCAGCUAACCCCAUAAGCAUAGAAAGGGG